GGUGGCUCAGUGGUAGAGCACUUGCCUUGCAUGCAUGAGUCCCUGGGUUCAGUUCCUCAGUACCA
rnacentral:tRNA from 1 species